AUACUUACCUGGGAGGGAAGAGAUACCAUGAUCAUGAAGGUGGUUUUCCCAGGGCAAGACUUAUUCAUUGCACUCUGGAUGCGCUGACCCCUGUGAUUUCCCCAAAUGUGGGAAACUGGAUUGCAUAAUUUGGGGUAAUAGGUGAUUGCAUUUGCGCUCUCCCCUG
rnacentral:snRNA from 1 species